UGAGGAAUAUUGGUCAAUGGACGGAAGUCUGAACCAGCCAAGUAGCGUGCAGGAAGACGGCCCUAUGGGUUGUAAACUGCUUUUGUAUGGGGAUAAAGUCAAUCACGUGUGAUUGUUUGCAGGUACCAUACGAAUAAGGACCGGCUAAUUCCGUGCCAGCAGCCGCGGUAAUACGGAAGGUUCGGGCGUUAUCCGGAUUUAUUGGGUUUAAAGGGAGCGUAGGCCGGAGAUUAAGUGUGUUGUGAAAUGUAGACGCUCAACGUCUGACUUGCAGCGCAUACUGGUUUCCUUGAGUACGCACAACGUUGGCGGAAUUCGUCGUGUAGCGGUGAAAUGCUUAGAUAUGACGAAGAACUCCGAUUGCGAAGGCAGCUGACGGGAGCGCAACUGACGCUGAAGCUCGAAGGUGCGGGUAUCGAACAGGAUUAGAUACCCUGGUAGUCCGCACAGUAAACGAUGGAUGCCCGCUGUUGGUACCUGGUAUCAGCGGCUAAGCGAAAGCAUUAAGCAUCCCACCUGGGGAGUACGCCGGCNACGGU
rnacentral:rRNA from 1 species